rnacentral:rRNA from 1 species
AGCCAGCAGCCGCGGUAAUACGUAGGGCCCGAGCGUUGUCCGGAUUUAUUGGGCGUAAAGAGUAUGUAGGUGGUCAUUUAAGUCGGAUUUUAAAUUCCCAGGCUCAACUUGGGUGCUGGAUCCGAAACUAUUUGACUUGAGGAUAUUAGGGGUAAGCGGAAUUAGCGGUGUAGCAGUGAAAUGCGUUGAUAUCGCUAAGAACACCAAUGGCGAAGGCAGCUUACUAUGAUUUCUCUGACACUGAGAUACGAAAGCGUGGGGAGCGAACGGGAUUAGAUACCCCGGUAGUCCACGCCGUAAACGAUGCAAACUAGGUAUCAGAAGUAUCGACCCUUCUUGUACCGAAGCUAACGCGUUAAGUUUGCCGCCUGGGGAGUACGGCCGCAAGGCUAAAACUCAAAGGAAUUGACGGGGGCCCGCACAAGG